rnacentral:rRNA from 1 species
CGGACGGGUGAGUAAUGCAUAGGAAUCUACCCAGUAGCGGGGGACAACCUGGUGAAAACCAGGCUAAUACCGCAUACGCCCUACGGGGGAAAGCAGGGGAUCUUCGGACCUUGCACUAUUGGAUGAGCCUAUGUCAGAUUAGCUAGUUGGUGGGGUAAUGGCCCACCAAGGCGACGAUCUGUAGCUGGUUUGAGAGGAUGAUCAGCCACACUGGGACUGAGACACGGCCCAG